UACAGCACACUGUAGUACCUAUAUUAAUUAUUAAUUAAAAUUGAAAAUGACUGCCAUUUAUUUCCAUCAUCCGAACGCAUUGAAUUUUACUGAGGCUCGAGUUUACCAUAUCUAAAGUAAGUUGUUGAAGUUUUAGCAAUUGACGCAUCAAUGUGAGGCCGGUAAAACGAAAGGACAGGGAGGGCAACAACUAUCAUGACAUGCCGUCCAAGAACAAAAAGAUCCGACAAGAAAUGGAGAAAGCCAGUGAUUUCUCUGACAUCGAAGACUCAGGUAAAGUAUUCAAUGGCAACCGAAUCCCAGCGAUAUUACCUCCGACUGGGUCGGCAGAGGAGAUGGCCUAUGAUUAGCACUCACAUCGUCGCAAAACAGUUUCAAAAGUUAUUACGGCGAUAUCACCAUCCAUCCGUUCCACAUGAGUCUGACCAGCAUCGUUGGCGCCAACGGCAGCGGCAAGAGAAACAAUAUUGAUAAUUGACCCAACUUGAAAACAAAACAUUUCAAAACAAAUCAAAUUACGACUCGGGCUAAAAAUUAAUAUUUAAUAAAGGAAUAACUAACUUCCAUAAAAGAAGAACUGAAUGAAACAAUAGCUGAGAGUAAGGAAGAUAAAGCCCAAAGCGGAAAAUAAACAUUCGACUGGUAUGCUCGAGUAUUUAGAAGACGCCAUUGGCACCGCUCGAAACCACUUGAAAGGCUGGCCGAAAAAUGCAAGUUUUGGGCGAAGAGAAAAAUGAAAAAAUAAGUUGUUUAAAGUUUAUCGCAAAAGAAAGAGACAAACUCAUAGAACCAGUGGAAACGGCUAUUAGAUAUUUGAGAACGGAAAACCAGUUGAUCCAACUUGAAAACAAAAAAUUUCAAAAACAAUUGUCUGAAGUGAACAAACAAAUUGCGAAUAAAACGGAAGAUCAAAAUUCAAUAAAGGAAAAUUAAAUGCUAUAGAAGAAGAAUUUGAAACAAUAGCCGAGAGUAAGAAAGAUAAAGAAGACGUUUUGCGCAAUCUUACUGAAUUAAGCCUCAAGGAAUGCCGAAAAUUAGAAAAGCCGCAUUCAAGCGUUUGCAGUCAAGUUUGGCGUCAAAGUGAAGUGAAAAUGUUAGAUAAAAUCGCCAAAAAUUUUAACAAAAUCUGAGGAACACUUAGACGAGCAUUUACGACAAUCAGGCCGGCGUAGAGCAGAAUCGUAGACGAAUCACCGAUCUAAACAUGAUUGUCAAGCAGUGUUCAUCGCGUGUGGAAUGAAAAAGAAUAUCAAGUUAACAAAUUGAUAAAAAAAACUUGUAAUCAUACAAAAGGAAACCGACCUAGUCGCAGUUGC